ACGAACGCUGGCGGCGUGCCUAAUACAUGCAAGUCGAACGCUUCUUUCCUCCCGAGUGCUUGCACUCAAUUGGAAAGAGGAGUGGCGGACGGGUGAGUAACACGUGGGUAACCUACCCAUCAGAGGGGGAUAACACUUGGAAACAGGUGCUAAUACCGCAUAACAGUUUAUGCCGCAUGGCAUAAGAGUGAAAGGCGCUUUCGGGUGUCGCUGAUGGAUGGACCCGCGGUGCAUUAGCUAGUUGGUGAGGUAACGGCUCACCAAGGCCACGAUGCAUAGCCGACCUGAGAGGGUGAUCGGCCACACUGGGACUGAGACACGGCCCAGACUCCUACGGGAGGCAGCAGUAGGGAAUCUUCGGCAAAGGACGAAAGUCUGACCGAGCAACGCCGCGUGAGUGAAGAAGGUUUUCGGAUCGUAAAACUCUGUUGUUAGAGAAGAACAAGGACGUUAGCAACUGAACGUCCCCUGACGGUAUCUAACCAGAAAGCCACGGCUAACUACGUG
rnacentral:rRNA from 1 species